UAGGAACAACACAGACCAUUUGCUCUGAUUCAACGAUUUUUAUGAGCACCAUUAAGUGAAAAUGGGCAAGUAACUCUGUGGCUCAGGGCAAAGCCCCCACAGCGAUGUGAUGAAAAAUCUUGGCAAGAACCCAUGAAAGAGAACCCUUCAAAUCAAAUCAAACAAAUGCGGAUCUACUAGGAGGAAGGGCCUUGUUUUUCAUUUAAAAUAAUCUUUUAAAGAGUAGACAAUAAUCCAAACACCUCUGGGUUACUAUAUCUUCUAGGAGAAUACUGAUUUUGAUAAAAAUAUUUAAAUCAAAAAUUUUAGGUAAUUUUACCUUCAAAUAGCUUAGGCACCUUAGACCAAAGUUUGCACAUUCUACAAAUAUUGACACAAUAACACCAUUUUAAAUCUUUACCCACCAUUUGUUGGGUUAUGUCAAAUGUAACUCAGGAUAAAAAGUUGUUCAGAUAAGUGAUUGGUACAAUUGGAAUUUAUAGAUUAAAAAUUUGUUACAAGGAAUUAAAAGUUUUUCUUACCUAACCUCUCAAUAAUUUUCCAAAGAAAAUGUGUGAUGUGUCCCUUGCUCUGCCCUUCACUCUAGUGUUUUAUUUUGCAUCAUGGAUGCAUUUCUUUUAAUUUUCUUCAUAUAACUCUUCACAUGUACUCUUGAGAUUGCAUAUUGCUUCAACAAUCCUUGCCCAGCCACUAACUUCUUUCUUAAAAUAAUUUUCCUGCCCCCCUUCCUUCAACAGUAAUCAAUGUCUACCACCGCCUCUAUUAAUUCUGCCACUGAUUUUGUGAUAACUCUUCACAAAUACUGAAUGAUGUAACUUGAAGGCAGUUUUUGUUGUCUGAAUCUGCUUGAUGCCAGCUUAUGGUUGGCUAUAAUGCUCAGAAAUAGAAGCAAUGAUUAGACAAUACAAAGAGAUACUAGUUUAAUGUAAGGAAGAAUAUUUUCAUCCUUAUCACUUACUGUAUUUACUUUAUAUUCCACAUUACAAGGAGCCACUUCAACAUGAACACCAAGCCAUCUUAAGUUUAUUAAGAUCCUAAUAAUGUUUAAGCAUUGGUUAUGUGAAUAUAGAAUGAUGAUCCCACUUUGGAUUUUACAUUCAAGUAUAAGAAAUAUCUAUUAAUCAACUUCUUUCAGGAGUGUUACAGAUGGUAGAGUCUGUUUCAACUUUGGGUGCAGGGCUUAACACAUUCUUUAACACAAUAAAUCAACAUUACUGAGAAACAAAGUAAUUAUAAGAACUCUUCUAAUUCUAGGAAUCAAUGAUUUUAUAUCAAUCAUAUGGAAAGAGGUAAAAGUGCAUGCUUCAUGUUAUGUUACUUUCUUUUGCUUGAGAAUGCUAAAUUUGUAAAACUAUAUAAUAUGACAUACUUGUGACUGAAUUGUAAGAGAUUUUAUCUAAUAUUGCUUUAGAAUACAGAAGUAAUUGUUUCAAAGGAUAAAGGAUGGAAGAUUCUGAUAAAGCUUGCUUACUUUUUGGGGGAAGGCGUGGGGGGAAAUGUCUCAGUGCCCAAGGUCAGUGGCCUUCCUGACUGAAGACUUUCCCAGAGUAGAGGAUAAGAGUGGGAACAGGAAGAGCAGUUUAAAGUCAUCUUCACAACAUUCUGGUGAGUGACUGAUUGCUUCAGCAGCAAACAGGCACAUGGUAAAAAUAUUGGUAAUGUGAAUUUAGUGUUGUUACUGUCAUUUUUUUCUUUAUUAACUAUGAUUUUGCUUACAGAUAGCAGUCAGAGUAGUAGUAUAUUGAUAAUAAUGAACCUCUUAGGGUUGCUGGUUUGGUGUUUCAAAGUUUUUCAGUUAUCCAUAUUAAACUUUUAAAGAUAUCUUGUGUGAAAAUUCAUUUCAAAUUACAUAGAAUUAAGAUACUAUGUUAUUUAGGAUAGACAAAUUAAGUGUGUUUGUCAUGAUUCUAUAAAUUGAUCUUAUUUGCUAUCAAAUAUUUUAAUUCAUGAAUGUAGUGUGAUAAAAUUUGUUAAAAAUAAUAGGCACACAUAUUUUCAUUGUAUUUAAAUUGCAAUCUGGCCUAUUCAAAAUUAACAUAGAUUGAUUUUGACCAAAGAGGUCUAGAAAGCAAGACCUUUUGUAAGAGAAGUGGAAAACAGAGUCAUUUCUUAGUUUCAUUCCACUAACCAAGAUGAAGCUGGGUCACAGAUUGCUGUAGACAUUUUUAAGUAACUCCGUGGAUCCCUCUCCUUCCACCCACUUUUCUCUGCUAUAUUCACAGAUAAUUCUCUACAUAUUUAUCGUUUGGGAGGGAAAAUGACUCUCCAAGAGUUAACUUCAAUUACACAUUGGUGGGCAGUAACUGUGCUGAGUGCCAGUCAGAACUGUAUGUCAAAAAUGCCACCUUCUCUCUUAUUAAUGCUGACUUAGCAAAAACAGAGGGAAUUUAGGGCAAGUCAGAAUUCUUGUUUCAUUGUCCUAUUUUCAGUAAGAGAAGGAAUUUAGGACAACUUAGAAUUUUUUCUCCUGCCCUAUUUUAUUGCACGUAUGUUUAUUCAUAUUCAGCAAAAAGAAUCCCAAUUUUAGCCUUUGUUGUCUUCAUGUCCAAAAAGUAUUUUCCCAAUUAAUUUAAUUUUUUUAUUUUAAAAUUAAUAUAUCUGGCUAAAGACAUUAGAAAAAUUAUAUCAACUGAACAAAAUUUUUAAAUGACUCAUAGUUCCACCGGCAAAGGAAUAAACUCGGCUUUGAGU
ensembl:lncRNA novel transcript